rnacentral:rRNA from 1 species
UACGUAGGGUGCGAGCGUUGUCCGGAAUUACUGGGCGUAAAGAGCUCGUAGGUGGUUUGUCGCGUCUGCUGUGAAAACCCGAGGCUCAACCUCGGGCCUGCAGUGGGUACGGGCAGACUAGAGUGCGGUAGGGGAGAUUGGAAUUCCUGGUGUAGCGGUGGAAUGCGCAGAUAUCGGGAGGAACACCAGUGGCGAAGGCGGUUGCCUGGAGCUUUGCUGACGCUGAGGCGCGAAAGCGUGGGGGAGCGAACAGG